rnacentral:rRNA from 1 species
UACCAGCACCCCGAGUGGUCGGGACGAUUAUUGGGCCUAAAGCAUCCGUAGCCGGCCUUACAAGUCCUCCGUUAAAUCCAGCUGCUUAACAGAUGGGCUGCGGAGGAUACUAUGAGACUAGGAGGCAGGAGAGGCAAGCGGUACUCAGUGGGUAGGGGUAAAAUCCGUUGAUCCAUUGAAGACCACCAGUGGCGAAGGCGGCUUGCCAGAAUGCGCUCGACGGUGAGGGAUGAAAGCUGGGGGGAGCAAACCGG